GGAACAUCUCCAAGUCUCCAACAAAGAAACGGAAAUGUUUGAUAACUAAAAAAAUUUAGUUAAAAUCAGUCAAAUAAAUUAAUAAAUAUUAAAUAAGAUAAAUUUUGACUUAUUUUUCACUGCUAUUACUAUUAUCACCGCUAUCACUAUCAUCUAGGGUUGCUCUUCUCGCCAUUUCUAUUGCCACCAUCGCCAGAGACUUAACUUCCAAAGAAGGACAAUUGGUAGAGAAAUUAGAGAAUCUAUUAUGAAGUCGCAAGUUUACAGGAAUACCUUCAUGGAUAGCUCGCCACACAAAAAGCUUGGUCUUGGCUGGGGCUUUAAUUAACCAUAUUGAUCUCCAUAAUGUUUUCUGCUUCAAGACUUUUGAGAGAAAACCAAUCGGUGGAUGGAAGAAGCCUAAAGCAACUCGGUAUCCAGAAUUAACAAAGUAAGCACCAUCUUUUUCUUUGCACCAAAUUCAUUUGUCUAUUCCUAGAUUCCUUCUGGUAUUAAGAAUGUUUUAAGCCAGUAGAGGUGGAACUUGGGGAUUGAUUAGUUGAACACUCCAUUGAUGCUGUAGAAGCUAAGAAAUCCACCGACGUAAGAAUUCUAUUUUUGGUAAAUAAUUUUUUUUGGUAAAUUUUAAAUUUAUUUGGUACUUUUAGAA